rnacentral:misc_RNA from 1 species
UUUCCGUAGGUGAACCUGCGGAAGGAUCAUCCAUAAUAAAGUGUUUUAUGGCACUUUUUAAAAAUCCAUAUCCACCUUGUGUGCAAUGUUAGAUCUCGUCAAUCUUGGCGAGAUUUUUAUACAUCAACCCAUUCUUUAACUAAUUUGUCUGAAAAAUAUUAUGAAUACUUAAUUCAAAAUACAACUUUCAACAACGGAUCUCUUGGCUCUC